UGUUCAAACAGGUGGUCGGCCGAUGUCUUUCGCGGCCGAAGGGGGGGGAGGACUUAAAACGCGCGGCUUCGUUCCUGCUUCGAACGUUCGUCCGCCAUUAAGGGGGGUUUUCCCGUGUCUCGGAUCAAAAUUAACGAUAUUCAAAUUUCUCUAUUUUUUUAGAAGAAAAGUGCGCAACGUAACAAACUGUUCAUUUUAUGUGGCGCUUGUCGUAAUUACUGAAAGCGAGAUAUAAGUUUUUUUUUUUUUUUGGAGGGGGUUGGAAGCUGCUUUAAUAACGGAAAUAUUAUUAAUAAUGCGCUGUAAAGAAAAGUGGUUCGGAGAUAAAGUAUGCUGAAAUUUUUGAGGUUAAUUAAUAUGCGUGCGUGAUGGCGGGGGGAGGUAAUUCCAUGAAUUUUUUUCAUGUCAAUCACUCGCGUUGGGAACGAGUUAUUAAUGAUACCCUGGUGUUGUUAGCUUGGCUUGGCCACGUGUCUCCACUUAACUCGAAAGCGUCGACGCUGUGUAAACGCUAUUGGAACGGAGGUAAACACUUCGGGGCGAAUGUCGAAAGCAUCGACGGAAAGAGGAGAAGCUAAUUAACGUAGUCAAAUUUUUCGUGCUUUUCCGACGCUUCCGGGCUGAUUUCCUAGCAUUUCGAACGCCACAGAUCGUAAGACGUGCAUUGUAUUUAAAGUUGACACGAGUUUCUCAAAGUAAAGAAACCUGAUCUAAUAAUAAUCUAAUAAUAAUUUGGAAAGCGAUUGGCAUGAUUUACAGUCUGUGACUCCCACGAGUCGAAGCCACGAAAAGCUUGCAGCUCUCUGUUAAGGAGGAAGGAUGCAGGAAACGCAGCUACACGCGACAGAGGAUGUAGAGGGACACGCCGUUAUCAGAAUUUCCGGUGUUCGGCGAUAAUAAUAACUAACUACCGCUACCACUCGGUUUCGACUCCCUGGUUGUUGCUUCUCUGCGUAUAUCGUAUCGACAAAUUAAACACUCACUGCCUGCGUCGCGCAUAUAUAGAUUAAUUUACUCUCCGCGGCCUUGGGUAGGAGGAGGCUUGAUAAAAAUUGGGAAAUUAAUAAAAGCGACCGGGAAAUGGAAAAAUUCUACCGUGGAAAAAUCAUGGGGUGGAAAAAUCUCGAGAUGGAAAGAUUCUGAUAUGGAAAAAGCUCAGUGGGGAAAUCCUGAGGUGGAGAAAGCUUGAUGAAAGAACCCCGAGGUGGAAAAAUCUUGAAAUAUAAAAAUCCUGAGGUGGAAAAAGCUUGAUGAAAGUACCCUGAGGUGGAUAAAUUUUCAAAUAUAAGAAUCCUGAGGCGGAAAACUCGAUAGAAAAAUCCUGAGGUGGAGAAAACUUGAUGAAAGAAUCCUGAGGUGGAGAAAGCUUGAUGAAAGUACCCCGAGGUGGAAAAAUUUUGAAAUAUAAGAAUCCCGAAAUGGAAAAAGCUUGAAAUGUAAAGAUCCUGAGGUGAACAAAUCUGGACAUAUAAAAAUCCUGAGAUGGUAAAGACCCAACACAAAAAUCCUGAGAUGGAACAACAUUGAUGCAAGGAUCCCGAGGUGAAUAAAUCUUGAGAUGGAAAGAUCCCAAGGUGGAAAAAUCUCGUGACACGAAGAUCUCGACGUGGAAAAUCUGUGGAAUACGCAGAGCUACGCCGAUGACCGUCGUCCGUGUCGACGCUGACGAGAAAUACGGGCGCGUUCGUCUCGCGUUACUUCAUCAGAGACGUUCGUAACAGAGAGGACGAAGAGGUCAGCGUACCGCAGCCGCGCAUCCGGCAGAAACGGGACUGGGAAGCAAUUGGAUAUCGUAUAUAGGGAAAGGAAUGAAUAUCCACUUCUCGGACGACAGAUCGUUACGUUACGAAAACACCGGAUUCUUCGUAACAGAAUAUUCGAAGGCGUCGCGGGGACUCUCAAAAAAGUGACGAGGCGACGAGGAAUGAGAAUAGGAGGAUCGAAUUACCGCGACGGAGACGGGAAGAGCAAAGAGAGCCGAAGGAGAGACGGAAAGUUGCGUGGAAUGCAAGCGUGAAAGCACAGGGAAGGGGAGAUAAGAAAGGGCGAGGAGACGAUUAGAGGACGAGGAGGUCAGAGGACAAGUGAAGCCCACGCGAAGGAUAACAGCAGAGGGAGAGGUUGGGUGGCUAUCGGAUACGACACGAGAAAGGUGCUGACGGUUAAACGAACGCUACCGUGGGCAAUGAAUUAUAUUGUCCCUCCUCUUCUACGGUCAGGUCAACACCGACCGACGUAUCAGUUCCAUCGUUAGGUUUUAGCAACAGUAAAGACUGAAAUCACCCAAAAUAAAAAUUAAUUCGGUUUUAAAAAUGAAGGUUUUUUUUUAGUGAGUAAUAGCCCUAUUUGUAAGCGAUAAAUGCGUUCUUAGGUGGCGAGGUCGGACUCAACGUAAGAGAGGAGGGUUAAUUGCUACACAGAGGCCACCUACAGGUAGGACAUAGGGUUUUAGAGACAAAAAUAAAAAGAGUAAAAGGUAAGUAAAUCUUCCAUAUUUCUCCGACGCCUCCAGAACAAUCCCUAGCAUCCCAAUUACCAGUCAGUUCCUACUAAAGAUAUUUUUCAUUGUUUAUAAAUUGU